rnacentral:rRNA from 1 species
UGAGGAAUAUUGGUCAAUGGGCGAGAGCCUGAACCAGCCAAGUCGCGUGAAGGAAGACAGUCCUAAGGAUUGUAAACUUCUUUUAUACGGGAAUAACGGGCGAUACGAGUAUUGCAUUGAAUGUACCGUAAGAAUAAGCAUCGGAUAACUCCGUGCCAGCAGCCGCGGUAAUACGGAGGAUGCGAGCGUUAUCCGGAUUUAUUGGGUUUAAAGGGUGCGUAGGUUGUUCGGUAAGUCAGCGGUGAAACCUGAGCGCUCAACGUUCAGCCUGCCGUUGAAACUGCCGGGCUUGAGUUCAGUGGCGGCAGGCGGAAUUCGUGGUGUAGCGGUGAAAUGCAUAGAUAUCACGAGGAACUCCGAUUGCGAAGGCAGCUUGCCAUACUGCGACUGACACUGAAGCACGAAGGCGUGGGUAUCAAACAGG